rnacentral:rRNA from 1 species
AUGUGUAGGAUAGGUGGGAGGCUUUGAAGCGUGGACGCCAGUCUGCGUGGAGCCGACCUUGAAAUACCACCCUUUAAUGUUUGAUGUUCUAACGUGGACCCGUAAUCCGGGUUGCGGACAGUGUCUGGUGGGUAGUUUGACUGGGGCGGUCUCCUCCUAAAGAGUAACGGAGGAGCACGAAGGUUGGCUAAUCCUGGUCGGACAUCAGGAGGUUAGUGCAAUGGCAUAAGCCAGCUUGACUGCGAGCGUGACGGCGCGAGCAGGUGCGAAAGCAGGUCAUAGUGAUCCGGUGGUUCUGAAUGGAAGGGCCAUCGCUCAACGGAUAAAAGGUACUCCGGGGAUAACAGGCUGAUACCGCCCAAGAGUUCAUAUCGACGGCGGUGUUUGGCACCUCGAUGUCGGCUCAUCACAUCCUGGGGCUGAAGUAGGUCCCAAGGGUAUGGCUGUUCGCCAUUUAAAGUGGUACGCGAGCUGGGUUUAGAACGUCGUGAGACAGUUCGGUCCCUAUCUGCCGUGGGCGCUGGAGAACUGAGGGGGGCUGCUCCUAGUACGAGAGGACCGGAGUGGACGCAUCACUGGUGUUCGGGUUGUCAUGCCAAUGGCACUGCCCGGUAGCUAAAUGCGGAAGAGAUAAGUGCUGAAAGCAUCUAAGCACGAAACUUGCCCCGA